UUGAACCGAAAGCUCGCGGAGUCUUGAGCGGGGGCUGGGAUUCCGGGUACGGCGUGGUGAGGGCGCCCUAGGUUGGCUCAGGAGUAGGGAAUGGGUUUUUUUUCCUUAGCUGUCCAAGCUGCAACUGGCUUACAUGGUUUCACGGUUAAAGCAUCAUCCCAGGGAAGGUAUCGUAGGAGAAAAAAAACUAACUUGAGGUUCCUGAGGUGGAAAAAAUUGUGCCUCGGCCUUUGGGUCCGGAGAGUCGUGCCUCUUCCAUCCUUUACUUAAAUAACUAAACCAGAAUUGUUAUGUCUGGUUUAUGGAAAAAAGAAAAUUAAUCCCGUUUGUAGAGUCGAGACUUGUUUGAGGUCGCAGAGUCCUGGGGGAAAUGCCUGUCUCUGGCUUAAGAGGUAGGCAGGUGGGGUGAAAACGGAACCGCGCCGAGUGGCACACUUCCCGGUUUCCCGCAGUUUUCUGUUCCGCGUCCUUGCUGUAAGGAAAGAACCUAGAUGCUGAAGCCCGUGAAAUUUUGGUUCCAGACCCUAGAAUGCUGUGGCAGAGAGCUAGGGAGUGAGUCAUCAAAAGCCCAGGGAAGAGCCUAAGAGGGUUUUAGCUUAGUGCCUAUAACGUGAGGGCACGUCGGUAGGCACUUCAGGGUUAGUUAUGUAAAUUAUAUUGAUACAUGGCAAAUGAAAGCGAUGGGUUGGUACCCUUGGAGACCUCCAGGCUUGAUUUAACUGAUCUGAAAGGCUGUGUGGACAGAGUAAAUGAGGGCUCGAGGGACUGGGAGUUGUUCCUGCAGCCAACUGGUAAUUAAAGAACGGAAGUUUGGAUAGAGUAUAGAAUGGCAGCCGGAAAGUUUUCAUCAUCUUCCUCGGAACUAGAAGCUCUGGAGACCGAGGACUUACGGAUUCGAAAACCAAAAAUGAAGAGACCUCUUUGUCACGGAGUCCAGAUGUCUAAGAAGACAUAUGUAAUACGCUGAUGCUUCCUACCUGAGACUUCUGUCACCCAUUCCAUCUCUCAUGACUUACAAAAUAAGAUGGAUGAGAACAGUCACUUCAGAUCCCACCAUUUUUCCUUUGGAUCCCUGAGAAAUGGAGGCUUUUGUUUAUUUUAAAGUUUACCCGAAUGGAUAUGUUAAAAAACAUUUUGUAGAGUUCA